rnacentral:lncRNA from 1 species
GUGGUAUGGGUGUCUUCCUCCAUCUUGGAUUGUAAAAAAACGGGAAACAAAGGUCCAGAUUUUCUAUCAAGUUAGCAAAAUUUGAUGCAGGAAUGCAGAUAUUAAAUGUGAAUUUUCAUUGAAAAGAACCAAUUUAUAAUAAUACAACUUAUAAAUAUUAAUACUUUUGCAAAUAUUGAUUAUUUUUUGUUGUUUAUUUUAAGGGGAGGUAACUCUAAAACAGUGCAUUUUCUGAAGGAUUCUACAUGGAAUUUUCCUAUUUUGAAUUUUAGCCGGAAAAAA